UCAUGUGAACUCUGUUUCGGACUUCGGUGUCUUGGCUCUCCGUGCUCUUUCACCUCAUGCAUUUUGGCGGAUAAACAGCAUCCCAUUUCAUCGAGUUAUGUCCAAGGCCGAUCGAGUUACGUAUCUCUUCUUCCCCUUUCUUAAAUCCUCUGUGUCCUCGUGUACGCCCAUGUGAAUGUGGGUGUAUUCACGGGGACCCCUUUUUGCAGAUCCUACCUGGUGUAUUCAACUUUGCUACGCGGAUGGAGCAAUUCUGGAUGCCUGGCUGUAUUUCCCAGGUAUAAAGAUAGACGAGACGAGUUGAAAAGCUGGGGCGAUAUGUUGCCGAGUGCGAGCGACCAUUAUCUGGAGAGAAUAAAUGAACAACUGAAAACACGGACGCCAUAGAGAGACGAACAACUAAACACAACGCACGACCGACUCUUUUCUUUUCUUCUUUGAUUUUCUAUUUAUCUAAUAACUUUUUUGUGCUGUUGUUGUUGUUGCUGUACGGGAGAAGAAGAAGAAGAAGAAUAAAAAAAAAAGAAUAGACCGCCUUGGUUGCGCUUGUCGAUCCAUCACCACCUCCGGAGCGGCGCGGCCAUCACCACACAAGCUAAGCAAUUAACAUUCAAUUAAUUAAGGGUUUCACUGCCUCACGAUUUCAUUCUUUUUCUUUCAAAAGCCGGAUUUUUAUUUGUGUGUGUGUCUUGUACUUCUACCCCCCACUCAUUAUUUCCCCCUUUUUUGGUUUUUUUUUGCUUUCGAUAUUAUAAAACCCUUAUAGUCAGCGUUUAGCCACCCACCGAUGGCUUCCUUCUCUGCUGGUGGUUUCCCAGCAGCUUCAUAUCAUCUAUUACCGUUCCUCUGCUCACGAACCAAUCCCGCAGUUGCAAUUGCGUCGCUAUGAUAUAAUUUACCUGCAUUUCAAAACGGCCCUCUCUGUGGACUGUCUGGUACUAUACUAAGUCCUCUGACUUGUUUCGUAAUCUAAUUACAAGUCUGAUGAUGGCCAGACUAUCGUGAAAUCAAUGAGGGUCGGGCCAAGACAGCACACACGCAUUCCUCGUCUGUUCUUAUGAAGAAGAGGUGGGGGGAGAGAGAGAGAGCUAUAGAGCUCGGGUGAUGGCGCGGUUUUUGAAAUUAGAGUGGAGCAUCCGCCGGGCAGACGACACACAAGCAUUCCUUUUGCUCAUCUUCGUUCCUCAUUAUUAAAAAGAAAAAAAUGAAAAAAAAAACUAUCUUCUUUCUUUUUUCGAACGAAAAACUUCUUGCGGUGCGCCGUGUAAAUUGCGUGGCUUGUGUGACAUCGUACACCUUCGACCUCAAAUGCGGCGCUGUGUCAUCCAAUCCGUCACCUUGACGGAGAAACGACUUGAAGUGAUUUUUUUCCGAGAAGAAGAAGAAGAAAAAGAAGAAGAAGAAGGAGAGCUCUUAAAUCAGGACAGAGUAUAAGGACAGAGCACACAGCCCAUGGGGUCCAUUUAUGCGGGGGAAAUUUGAACAAGAAGAACAAGGUCUUUCUCUCUCUCUCUUUCUCUCUUUCUCUCUGUGUGGUAUAUAAUUAGGGCUGGUACACAGGAUAAAUGUACAGCCCGGCGCUUGUUCGCUUAUUCACCAAGAAAUCUGCAUUGACCUUUUGCUACGUUUGCUUGCUGCAGACACACACACAACAUCUGCGCGGGGGCCGUUUUCUUCUUCCUCGACUCUCGUCCGCCUCCCUCUUUUGUUUCCACAUUUUGACAGUGUUUUGAUAAACACUUAAUUACAGUGUAUACAUAGUAUAGUUACUAGUACAUAUAUAGUCUCUCCAGAGUAUACCCGUACUACAAAUACGUGUAUGUAUACCUGAUGAAUUGUUCUUAUUCCUCUCCUGAACCGCAAUUAGCAUUGAAGGUAUAUAAUUCAUUUCUCCUUUUCUUUCCAGUUAUUUCCACUUUCGUCUGAUUCUCUCCUCCGCGCGCCCGUUCAAGUGUUUCGAUAUAUUUCAGAAAGGGCUUCACACAUACGAGCGCGCUUUUAUCAUAUAAUUCCAAUGGAGAACACACAUAGUAAAUAAUCUUUUUUCAGACGUAUACCCAGCCAAUAUAGUUGGUGUUUGGACUAUACCUAUCAGUGAAAAUUACACGUUUUUUUCUUAUUCCUCCCUCAAUUUCGAUUUGAUUUUCUAUUUUUCUUGUUUUCCAAGGGAGGGAAAUUCCGACCCGCAACCCCGGCAGCGUCGAUUGCCCGAUAUUCUGAAGAAGACGAGAAAAAUCUACUGGGAUCCAUCCCAGAGAGAUGCGACCAUCUGGCGCAACACGAAGUUUGUUUUUUUCUUCUUCUUCUUCGAAAUGCUGUAAAGAGCGCGCCGAUUUUAAACUGGGUCGGGACCAUUCGCCGCCCUUUUUUCUUCCCUCGGCGCACCGAAACAGAGAAACAACUCGAAGAAGGUGGAGGGAAAUAAAGAAAAGCCAAAAGAAAAUAAUUUCAAAAAGAAAAAAAAGAAAAAAAAUCCCGAAUUAAAGGGUCAUUCCGCUUGAGUUACGACUCUCUCUCUCUGGUGUAUUUCCCUUUUAUUGAUUUAUCGAAAUAAAAAAUCAAGGGAAAAAUCUAUACGAUUCGUUGCAAUAAAACUACUUCUCCUAAUACCUAUAUACACUCCUACUGCUGAUGGGCUGCUGCUGCUGCCGACCCUUUUUGGGUGAAAUAGAUUAACCGGGGCGGAUAGGCGGAGCUAUUCACUUUAUACACACGGAGAUGGAUCUACGUAUUUCUCUGUGUGUGUGUGUGUGCGUAUACUAAACUAAAGAAGAAGAAGAAGACGAUUACGACAGUGAAGAAGGUGAAAUGGUUUUCUUUUCUUCUUCUUGGCAUAGUCAGCCAUGUUCUA